ACAAUCCCCAAGAAGUUAUCUAUGUCCUGAAAAGAACGUACUCGCUGAUUGAAGCAACCGGUGAUACUGCGAAGUGCAUAUGGAAUAAACGAGAUUCUCUGAACGACAGUGUACUGAAGCUUCAGGAAGCAUACACUGUUGGACUAACAAUUACUAACUACCAUGUGGAGAUACGAUUGGAGGAAGGAAAAGGUAGGGAUACAGCACCUACAAUGACAGCCACACCAGGUCAAAUGAGGAGCACAACCUCAAUAGGGCAACAUCAGAAUGGUAUUCUCUCAGCUGAACGAAGCCAGCCCAGGGUGUACAACUUUCAAUAUUACGACCCGCAAAAACAUUGCGCUGUUCUAACCUUCGAUGACGGAACAAGGAGGUGUCAACUUCAUUUCUGGGCAAAGGAAACACGUUUCGUAAAGCCUGAUCAAACUAGACGCAACCAAAAACCACGUUGGCCUUCGGCAUUCGAAAAUUGUGAGCAAGCGUACAAAAGCCUGUGUCCUGAGCCAAUGACUUUCGACGUUUACCAGGAUAAUUGUGCACAGUGGUAUAAUCAGAAGUCCUCUAUUUUGGUUUGGACCCCCUGAAAGGCACACUGCACACGACCCAAAUAUUUUGUGGCCCCAUUUAUGAUGCACAUACACAACUAAUAUUAAACCGCAAAUAAACUAAGUAGUCACUCUGA